rnacentral:RNase_P_RNA from 1 species
GAAGUUCGCCAGGCAACCGCUGAACAUGAAAGUGUUUGGAGGAAAGUCCGGGCCCCACAGGGCGGAAUGCCGGCUAACGGCCGGGCGCUAUAAGUCGGGCGGUGCAAGCCGCCGGACCCAAGGCGACAGACAGUGCAACAGAAAGAUACCGCCGAUGGCCUGACUUUGACGCCGCAAGGCGACAAAGUCCCCCUUCCGAAAGGGAGGGUGGUUCCUCCUCAGGAGGGGCGGGAUCAGGUAAGGGUGAAAUGGUGGCGCACCGCAAGGUGCGUCAAGGCCGCGCAAGCGACCUUGGGGUAAGAGCCCACCGCGUUUCUGGCAACAGAAACGGCACGGCAAACCUCAUUCGGGGCAAGGCCAAAUAGGGGAGCAUUGGCGUGGCCCGCGUCGCUCCCGGGUAGGCUGCUAGAGGCCGUCGGUAACGGCGGUCCCAGAGGAAUGGUUGCCCACGACAGAACCCGGCUUAUCGGCGGACUUCCCAC